AGGAUGACAAUCACAUCCCAAGCGCGCCGAUCGCUUCCAACUUUGCUCUCCUUUUGCUAACUCUGGGCGGAGCGGCAAUCUCGACGUACAACUGGCCUUAGUCUUGGCUCGGGCCGUUCGGGAACACAAAGGGAAAGAUGCAGCGGGCUGCGCUCGGGAGAACGCUCUGCGCCCUCCUCGCCAGUGCGAAUAGCGAAGUUGGCGGACGUCUUGUUCUCCCGAGAGCUGGGCUGGGAGGUGGUUUUUCUCCCUCCACGCUCCACAGUGGCUUCUCCCUCCUGCCGGAGGUCUCUAGGUUGAGCUGGAGACCUGGAAUUCAGAUCCCAGGGAGAGUCGAUGGAUGCCGGCGCUCAGGGCACAGCGAGGCCGAGAUGACCGCCUUUCUGCGCCAGCAACUGCAGCAGGUGGGCAAGAGCCAGGCCUAAGUAGAAGGGGCCCCGCUAGCCCUUCCUUCCACCCAUCCCUGGCAGACGACGAGAAGAGGCUAGAGAGGAGACUCUGGGGUCUCUGGCUGGGGGUGUGACUUUUCUCUGGAACGAGGAAGGCAGUGGGCAAGAAGUGCCCGACGGAGAAGCUGUUCUACCCGAGUCGGUCCCCCAGACGCCCCCGGCCCCUUGCCAUCCCAAGUAGCGAUGCCUGCUUCUCAUGUCUAGCCACGAGCAGCUUGCCCCGUCAGAAUCACAGUUCUUAACGGAGCCCCUGACUGCCCGGUGGAAGGAGGUGAUUUAGAAGACAGUGAGAUUCCUGAAAAACAACAUUGGGCUCCAACUGCAUCUUCAAGAGAGGCCCUGUCUUCUGGCUCUGUGUUACCGUGUUGACCAAGAAGUUGAUCUGGGGCAAAGUGAAGCAUCAGUAGCGCCUUCCAUCCCUUCACCUCACCUGGAUCUCUUCACUUCACUCCACGUCUGUCGUCUCCCAUGCAUGAAGCAACAUGGCCAAGUGAAGCUGCAACCAGUAAAGUGUAAGCCUCCCAAUAGAACAUUUCUUCCUGAGCCAACCUAUCAGUGCAGCUCUGGAAGCAAAUGACCUCUCCUGGCAGAGCCUUCACUGUGUGGGGAACAUCAGAUUUGUGUAAAGAAGAUCACCUGUCUCUUCUCAGGUGUGCACUGUAGAGAAGCUGCUGCGAAGGCCACAGGUCACUCAGGAAAAUUUGGGGCAGUUUUCUAGGUUCAAGGGAGACUGGACAUCAAAGCUGCACUGGGACAUAUGGACGCCUUGAUCCACUUUGGCCAUUCCACCUCAGCUCAGAAUUACUCACUGGUGUCAGCACAGGAUGUUUCUUGGCUUCAAACCAUUUGGAUAAGUGAUGGCAGCAAGCUUCGCCACUGUAAAGUCACCUCUUUGUAAGAAGACAGGAGCUCUUUGUAAAGAAUAUGAGACCUGAGGCUGGGGGAUGGCUGAGAAGGGAAAAGCACCUCUGCACAAGCGUGAGAAAAGGAGUUUGUUCUUCCACAUCCAUGUAGAAAUCUUGAUGCCGUGCCGUGAACCCCAGCUCUCCUACGGGAAGAUGGGAGGCGUAGACAGGAGUUCAUCUGGAAGCUUGAGGCCAGCCACCCAGAUCCUCAGAGCUGCAGACAAAAGAGAGGCCCUGCAGCAAAAGAGUGGAAGGUGAGAACCAACUCCGGAAAGUUGCCCUCUGACCUUUACAAGUGUAUACAUCCACACACAUACAAUAAAAUCAAUUGCUCAAUCACG
rnacentral:lncRNA from 1 species